GAUGAACGCUGGCGGCGUGCCUAAUACAUGCAAGUCGAGCGAACGGACGAGAAGCUUGCUUCUCUGAUGUUAGCGGCGGACGGGUGAGUAACACGUGGAUAACCUACCUAUAAGACUGGGAUAACUUCGGGAAACCGGAGCUAAUACCGGAUGAUAUUUUGAACCGCAUGGUUCAAAAGUGAAAGACGGUCUUGCUGUCACUUAUAGAUGGAUCCGCGCUGCAUUAGCUAGUUGGUAAGGUAAUGGCUUACCAAGGCAACGAUGCAUAGCCGACCUGAGAGGGUGAUCGGCCACACUGGAACUGAGACACGGUCCAGACUCCUACGGGAGGCAGCAGUAGGGAAUCUUCCGCAAUGGGCGAAAGCCUGACGGAGCAACGCCGCGUGAGUGAUGAAGGUCUUCGGAUCGUAAAACUCUGUUAUUAGGGAAGAACAUAUGUGUAAGUAACUGUGCACAUCUUGACGGUACCUAAUCAGAAGGCCACGGCUAACUACGUG
rnacentral:rRNA from 1 species